GCAAGUCGAGGGGCAGCACGAAUUAGUUUACUAAUUUAAUGGCGACCGGCGCACGGGUGCGUAACGCGUAUGCAACCUACCUCGUACUGGAGGAUAGCCCGGAGAAAUCCGGAUUAAGCCUCCAUAGUAUUCUAUAUCGGCAUCGAUUUUAGAAUUAAAGGUUACGGUACGAGAUGGGCAUGCGUCCCAUUAGCUAGAUGGUAAGGUAACGGCUUACCAUGGCGACGAUGGGUAGGGGGCCUGAGAGGGUGAUC
rnacentral:rRNA from 1 species